UACAUGGGGUGCAAACGUUGCUCGGAAUUAUUGGGCGUAAAGCGCGCGUAGGCGGUUACUCAAGUCGGAUGUGAAAGCCCUCGGCUUGACUGAGGAAGUGCACCCGAAACUGAGUAGCUAGAGUACUAAAGAGGGUCGCGGAAUUCCCGGUGUAGAGGUGAAAUUCGUAGAUAUCGGGAGGAACACCGGUGGCGAAGGCGGCGACCUGGGUAGAUACUGACGCUGAGGCGCGAAAGCGUGGGGAGCAAACAGG
rnacentral:rRNA from 1 species